GUCUCUGUGGCGCAAUCGGUUAGCGUGUUAGGCUGUUAAUUGAAAGGUUGGUGGUUCAAGCCCGCCCAGGGACU
rfam:Danio rerio chromosome 4, GRCz11 reference primary assembly.